rnacentral:rRNA from 1 species
UACAGAGGGUGCGAACGUUGCUCGGAAUUACUGGGCGUAAAGCGCGUGUAGGAGGUCCGUUAAGUUGGUAGUGAAAUCCCAUGGCUCAACCAUGGAAGUGCUGCCAAAACUGGCGGGCUGGAGUGCCGGAGAGGGUGGCGGAAUUCCCAGUGUAGAGGUGAAAUUCGUAGAUAUUGGGAGGAACACCGGUGGCGAAGGCGGCCACCUGGACGGUAACUGACGCUGAGACGCGAAAGCGUGGGGAGCAAACAGG